UGAUUCUGGAGAUUUGCUGCCAGAAGAGUUAAGAAAGGAUAAUUGCACCUCAAGGACCCGGGCCCUGCAGAGCAUGGUACAGCAGGGCAGCAGGCAGAAAAUGUCAGCAGGAUGGGUUGGCCUCCCUGGAGUGCCCUUCUUAAAAGGAAAACCACAGUAUGCAGCUCACUCUGGGGAUGGGGAGCGGUGAAGCAGCACAGGAGAACAAUUUCAGUGUGCCCAGACUGGAUUCCUUUCAACUCAAGCCACGCCUAAGAUUAUGGUUUGGGAGCCCACCUAUUGUACUCCAACCACCAGUUGGCAUUUGUGAACUAACAACAGUUUGAAGGAAGCAUGCCCUGCACUCACAGAGGGGUAAAAGGCAAACAUUUUAUUUACAAACUCCCUGAGAAGAUCAUCCUGCUUGCCUUGAGCCAUUGAAGAUAUCAUGCAAAGGACAUCCAGAUUGUCUUUAGAUCCACAAGAUGUGUGAGUGCUCAGCACCUUUCAGAAGUCCAGAGGGGAUCACACAAUCUGCAGUGGCCUCUGACAGUUAAAUACAAGUAUGUAAAGUAACUCUAAAAUCCUCUCCGAAAUCUACUUUCAUAACCUUAAUAAUUCUACUCAGUACUGGAAAUAAGUUUGAUUACUUCAUCUGAAAUUCAUUAGGGUGCUAAUUAACAAAUGAAACAUAGCUCAUUAAACAAAGACAUAGCCAAUGUUAUUUCAUUCAGUUUCACCUUGGAAAACAAUCUCAAAUCACACCAACCUUGGAAGUAUAGGAAAAUGCAGUAAGAGAGAACUAAUGAAAAUCAUUCAAGUUUACUGUUUCACCACAUAUCUUUCCUAACAGGAAAAAAAGAAGGUACGAUUAAAAAGUCCUGUUUUCUCUGCUAGUAGUACUGAGCAAAGAUUGAUAUAAAAUACUGUUGAACUGGAUAAUGGAUUAUAUUGCCUAUAAUCUUAUUAUUAAAGGUCACAGAACAUUGUAGCUCAAUUAAAUAGUUAUUUGGGAAAAAAAAAAAAAAGAAAAAAGAGCUCAUUUUCUUUUUAGCUCUAUGGGAUUUUUUAGAAAGGUGAAACUAUUUUGACACUAUUUAAUAUGCUUCAGUGAAAAAAGAUUUCCUUUUCAGUAUAGGUUUCAGAGGGAUUAAAAGCUAUCCAAACAUUAAUCUUACAUAUCAUGCAUCAUAAGCAGAACUAAAAACUCUCAUACUCCACAAGGUUUUGAAGCAUAGUUGUAGCAUACCCAGAGCAAGACUUCUAGCAGCAGAAAUUAAGUGUUUGCUUGGUUUCAGACAGACCUCCAGCUCAGUGGUCUAAAGAGUUACUUACUAAAUGGAAACUUCAUUCUUUCUGUUCCACACACCAGCAAAUCAGGUAAGAAGAAAACAGUCUCUUUAAGCAUGUACUUAAAUUCUUUGAUGGAUCAGGACCAUUAUAGGGGUUCUUGAUCUUCAGCAGAAAAUUAUUGCAUAAGGGAAAGGUUGAGGGAAUUGGGCUUGUUUAGCUUGGAGAAUGCUCUGGGGAGAUCUCAUUGUGGCCUUCCAGUACUUGAAGGGAAUGCAUAAACAGGUGGGGUAAUGAGAGUUUACAUGGGUUGACAGUGAUAGGACAAGGGGGGAUGGUUUUAAACUAAGACAAAGGAGAUACUAUAUCCAAAGAGGUUGUAGAUGCCCCAUCCCUGGAGGCAUUCAAGGUCAGGCUGGAUAUAACUCUGGGCAGCCUGGUCUAGUGAUUGGCAAUGUUGCCCAUGACAGGGGGCUAGAAACUACGUGAUCUUUGAGGUCCUUUUCAACCCAGGUGAUUCUAUGAUUCUAUGAUCUUGAGAGAGGUUGGAGGCAAAUGGAUGAGGCCAGACACUUCUUGAUGGUGUGUACCGUGAGCACAAGGAGUAAUGUUCUAAAACAUGUAAAUAGGAAAUUCUGCGCUAACACGCAGAAGAACUUUAUGGUAACGGUGAUGGAGCACUGGAACAGGUUGCCCAGAGAGGAUGUGGAGUCUCCUCCUACAGAGAUAUCCAAGACAUAUCUGGACAGCUAGCUGUGCGACCUGUCACAGGGUCCCUGCUUUAGCAGAGGAACUGAAUUCAGUGCAGUCUUGAGGUCAUUUCCAGCCCCUGUGUUACUCAGUUACUGAGUGCCUUCUCUGUCUAUACUGCUGGAGGCUGUCCUGAGGAGCCCUGUACCCCUGAGGUCCCAGAGGAAGUCAGGAUCAAGGAGGAGUUUGCCUCAGUUGUUGAGGACUGGGUUAAGGAGCAAUUAAACAACCUAGACAUCCAUAAAUCCAUGGGUCCUGAUGCGAUGCACCUGUGGGUGCUGAGGGAGCUGGCAGAAGUCAUUGCUAGGCCACUCUCCGUUAUCUUUGGUAAGUUGUGGGGAGCAAGAUACUCCAGACUGAUCAGCCUCACCUCCAUCCCUGGAAAGGUGAUGGAAAAACUUAUCCUUGGCACUGCCUCUAGGCAUAUCACGGAUAAGAGGGUCAUUAGGGGCAGUCAGCAUGGCUUCACCAAGGGGAAGUCAUGCUUGACCAACUUGAUAGCUUUUUAUGAAGAGGUAACCAGGUGGGUAGAUG
ensembl:lncRNA